rnacentral:lncRNA from 1 species
GGCACGGUAUUAAACAGAUGACAACGUCCAGCAUCCCAGCCUUCAUGCUGAUUUGCUGAUGAGUUUUUAAUUUCUUCCUCAUGGCUUCUUAGAUGAAAAAUCAAGUAAGAAAAAAAUCUAUGAGGCAUCCAUUUGACCUCUAAAAACCUUAGAAAUCUCUACCACUUUUCCAUCCUGUCACAAGUUAAAAAAAAAAAGUCUGUGAAGCUGGGAAGAUGGUUCUUUGAUUAAGAACACUUGCUAUCCUUUCAGAGGACCUAGGUUCACUUCCCAGUACCCACAGGACAAAAAACAUUUGUCAGUAACUCCAAUACUGGGGGACUCAUGUUCUUUUCUGUUCUGAGUAGGCAUGUAUGUGAUACACAGACAUACAUAAAAACAAAAUACCAAUACAUAUAUAUAUCAACAAAUAAAGCCUAGCAUAGUGGCACAUGCCUUUAAAAAGGAAUCUGAUCGAAUAAUAUCUAAUGCUUCUAGAUAAAAUGUUCUCUUGUUUAAGAGAAGCUCAGUGCAUGCUAGGUCAUGUGUUUUUUUUUUUUCCUGGAACUCUAAUUUUGUAAUUUGGAUCUGAAAUUUAGGCUGCUGAAUUAAAUCUAAAAUUAAGCAUGAAAAAUAUGUAGUUUCUUGGAUGUGAAUACAACACUAUGCUACACAGAAAUACAUGAAAGGAAUUCCUGCCAGUAGGCUUAAAGGUGGUAGAUGUUCUCUACCAUAUUCUGGUUUGGAUUAUCAUCUCCAUAUGAUCUUUAUCAAAGUGUGCUUGAUACCUUGUCAAGAAUAGAGGCAGCUUAAACUAAAUUGAAUAGCUGGAUGCACAUGGCAAGCAAGCUUUAGAUUGAACACCUCCAGUUGGUGAGACCCAGAGGAAGCCGGACCUGCCACUUGGCAGUAUGAGAUGAUUGAGCCCCUUGGAGAAGGAACAUCACUGGAAAAUAUGGAGGAUAGCAGGAGAAACGUUGAUUCAUAGCAGAGCAAAGAUAGGAGUGUAUUUCUUACUCAGUAAGUCAAGUUUCCUCCUUGUGGACAACUUGACACCUGGCGGGGGGUGGGAGGGGAAGUGUAUUGCAAAACAAUGAAAAUUAAAAUGAAACAAAGCACAACCUUCACAUAUUCCUAGUUUUCCCCUUCUGCUGCUACGCCUGCUACCCUUUAACAUGAUUCAUUGUAUCAGUUCUAUUAUUUUUAAAAGGUUCAUAUAAUGUGCCUCUGUGUGCUUCCCCCUUCUAAGUCUCUCUCUGUCUCUCUCUGUCUCUUUCUCUGUCUCUUAGUUUGUGUGUGUGUGUGUGUGUGUGUGUGUGUGUGUGUGUGUGUGUGUGUGUCUGAGGAUCAAGCCCAGGGCUGCAUGUAUGAUAAGCCAGUGCUCUAUCACUGAAUUAUAUACCAAUGAUACCUUUGAAGGAAGAAUUGUAUAUAAGGUUAUAAAGAUGGCCAGGUUUCUGUCCCUGCUCCUAAGCGCUGGUUUCUAAGCAGACCUCAGUUUAUCUGUAACAUCAGUACAAUGGCUCAUGAACAAACUGUCAUGGGUAUGAGCUGCCAGGGCACUAUGCUAUGUAGCCUACAUGGACAAUGCUUUCUGGUAGUCCCACUGUGAUGGUUCUAAGGAAAGAGAGCUUAUUAAUUAUAGGACCAAAUUUCUUUUCUUUGUUCAAUACAUUAUUGCUCUUCCAUUUC